AUUUUAUCAUUUGUAGAUAUGGAUAAUGACAUUCACAAUAUUUCCCAUUCGUUUUAUCAUUAUGAUUAUUCUUCUAAUGACUGCAUGGCUUUUGACAUCAAUUGGUUUUAUUGGUUUAUCAGAAAAAGAAUUUCAAGAGAAACCUAUGUCUGGUUGGAGAAAAUUUAUUAAAGAAUGUGAGAGAAGACUUGGACACAUAUUCUUUUUUAUGGCUGGGUUUCAAAAUAUUAAGAUCUUAGGAAAGAAAGCACAUUCAUCUGAAGCUCCUAUCUUGUGUGUGGCACCUCAUUCCACAUUUUUUGACACACUUAUGGAAUUUAUUGGUGGUGUCUAUUGUCCUGUAGUACGUGAACAAAGCAGUUCUACAGCUAUUGUAUCUACUUUAAUUACAUAUACGCAACCUGUAUAUGUUAAGAGAGACGAUCCUUUAUCACGUCAACAUACUAUACAGGAAAUCAGAAGAAGAGCACUUUCAGGUGAUGAUUGGGAACAAAUACUCAUUUUUCCAGAAGGAACUUGUACCAAUCGAACAUGUCUCAUACAUUUUAAAUCAGGUGCCUUUCUACCUGGAGUUCCUGUACAACCUGUUUGCAUUAGAUAUUUAAAUAAGCCGGAUACAGUAACCUGGACAUGGGAUGGACCCGGCGCUUGGAAAGUAAUUUGGCUUACAAUGACACAAUUACAUCAGCCUUGCGAAAUAGAAUUUCUACCUGUAUAUACUCCAAGUGAAGAAGAAAAACAAGAUCCAAGAUUGUAUGCAGACAAUAUCAGAAAUAUAAUGGCUAAAAAACUGUGUGUUCCAACAUGUGAUUUGUCUUAUGAUGAUAUAAAAUAUCAAGUCUGGGCUAAGGAAAGGCAUUUGUUACACACUGUUGGAGUAACAAAAUUAUUAAAAUUAAGAAGAAAAUUGAAUUUGGAAAAGAAGAGUAUCAAAGAAGAAAUUGCCAAUUCCGAAAAUAAAUUAAGUCUGUACAAUAAUUUGAUUACUUGCAAAGAGUUUGCAAAUUUUCUAACUGAACCAGUUUCAGAGGUCAUUAGAGAUUUCUUUGAUGCAUUUGAUCCAAAUAGAUCAGGCUUAAUAGAUUUGAGGAGUUAUAUAGCUGGUCUCUGGCUCAUUAGGCAAGAUAUUGAUGAUGACGAGAAGCUUGAAAAUGCUUUUAAAAAUUUGAAAGAUACAUGUGGUUAAUAAAAGGCAUAUCAUCAUCCUGGUCAGAAAAAAUAUUUAAAAAAUUAAGCAAAGAUGGAGAAACUUUGGUAUUUGAUGAUCUUCAAAGUAUUCUGUUCGAUAAUAAAUACAUCUCAAAUGGAGCACCACAGACUAAUGGUUCGGUAUCACUGCCGGAUGAC
rnacentral:misc_RNA from 1 species